GGGCCUGUAGCUCAGGGGUAGAGCGCUCGCUUUGCAUUUUCUUCAAAAGAUGGCGUUUGCGAGAGGCCUAGGGUUCAAAUCCCUACCGGUCCA